CUUUGGGAUAACCCUCGGAAACGGGGGCUAAUACCGGGUAUUCACAGGUCUUCGCAUGGGGGUUUGUGGAAAGUUUUUUCGGCUGGGGAUGGGCUCGCGGCCUAUCAGCUUGUUGGUGGGGUGAUGGCCUACCAAGGCGACGACGGGUAGCCGGCCUGAGAGGGCGACCGGCCACACUGGGACUGAGACACGGCCCAGACUCCUACGGGAGGCAGCAGUGGGGAAUAUUGCACAAUGGGCGAAAGCCUGAUGCAGCGACGCCGCGUGAGGGAUGACGGCCUUCGGGUUGUAAACCUCUUUCAGCAGGGACGAAGCGUUUGUGACGGUACCUGCAGAAGAAGCGCCGGCCAACUACGUGCCAGCAGCCGCGGUAAGACGUAGGGCGCGAGCGUUGUCCGGAUUUAUUGGGCGUAAAGAGCUCGUAGGCGGCUUGUUGCGUCGGCUGUGAAAACCCGCGGCUUAACUGUGGGCUUGCAGCUGAUACGGGCAGGCUGGAGUUCGGUAGGGGAGACUGGAAUUCCUGGUGUAGCGGUGAAAUGCGCAGAUAUCAGGAGGAACACCGGUGGCGAAGGCGGGUCUCUGGGCCGAUACUGACGCUGAGGAGCGAAAGCGUGGGGAGCGAACAGGAUUAGAUACCCUGGUAGUCCACGCUGUAAACGUUGGGCGC
rnacentral:rRNA from 1 species